ensembl:lncRNA
UAGCGCAGUGAUGCUCUGUUGCGGGCAGUAAUGCAUAUCCCCAUACAGAAGCCAAGAAACAUGCCGUUUGUAUUUAGCUGGGUAGGCUUAGUGACACGGAUUAAUCUUUCAGAUGGAAUUGCAACACACAGGGCUGUUAGAAGAAAACCCUCAGUGGAAAAAGAAAAAAAAAAAAGAAAGAAAGAAAAAGAAAGAAAAACAAAGAAGGGCUGUUUAAAUCCAGAACAAAUAUGAAGUUGAAGGUCAGGGAUGCAUGGAAGGUGCUGAACCCGCAGCAGGUCACUUCUCUCAGCAGCUUGUGCCAGGGAAGGCAAUUUCCAGGACCAGACGUUAAUCCCGUAAAGCUUGGCAGAGGGACACCCAAACACAUGGCAAAGGAUGUUACCUCAGGAAUGGGGCUCAGGGUUGGCGCUAACUGGAGGAGCUGCCCAGGUGGGCAGGACCGCC